rnacentral:tRNA from 1 species
GAGUCUGUAGCUCAGCUGGAUAGAGCAACGGCCUUCUAAGCCGUAGGUCAGGGGUUCGAAUCCCUUCAGGCUCG